rnacentral:rRNA from 1 species
GACGAACGCUGGCGGCGUGCUUAACACAUGCAAGUCGUACGGUAAGGCCCUUUCGGGGGUACACGAGUGGCGCACGGGUGCGUAACACGUGAGUAACCUGCCCACAACUUUGGGAUAACGCUAGGAAACUGGUGCUAAUACUGGAUAUGUGCUCCUGCUGCAUGGUGGGGGUUGGAAAGCUCCGGCGGUUGUGGAUGGACUCGCGGCCUAUCAGCUUGUUGGUGGGGUAGUGGCCUACCAAGGCGGCGACGGGUAGCCGGCCUGAGAGGGUGACCGGCCACAGUGGGACUGAGAGACGGCCCAGACUCCUACGGGAGGCAGCAGUGGGGAAUAUUGCACAAUGGGCACAAGCCUGAUGCAGCAACGCCGCGUGCGGGAUGACGGCCUUCGGGUUGGAAACCGCUUUCAGCAGGGACGAAGCUUUUUGUGACGGUACCUGCAGAAGAAGCACUGGCUAACUACGUG